GUUGCAGUGGAUUUAGUCUAAAAUAUUUUUUUUCAGAUGUUUAUUUCUGAGUUGUAUGGGUGAGAACACAUAAGGGAUUCAAUGGAAAGUUAAUAAUAAUAUCUAUGAAUUACAAUAGAUGAAAUUCAUGGUAAGGAGUAAAGAAGACACUUCUGCUAUGAAUUGUUAGGAAAUUCCCAGGCAGCAAUGGUCACUAGAGAUUAUGGAUGCCAGAUGGAUAUGCUUCAGCACACAUGGAACUGCUCAGACAAAAUAUCUUCUCCAAAAGAAAAGCCUUUGAGCUGGUUUGCAAUGAUGGAAUGGGAGUACAAUUGCAACUGGAAAACAUAGUCUGUUCACAUAGGCUGUUCAUGAAAGUGAAAUUGAUUGUUGUGAAAAGACUUCAAGGCAGAUGUGGAAUAUGAAGGCCAUCACAAAGUCACUUGAAAUGUGAUGGAAAAAAACACACAUUCCUGAGGAACAACUGUCUCAUGCUAUAUAUGUAUCAAUAGCUAUUUAUCUGAAUCAUUAUCUUACAGUGAUGAUUUCUCUCCAUUGACAAUGAAGA